rnacentral:lncRNA from 1 species
AUUUGGCGACGAGUCUUGUCUACGAGAAGGCGGUGUAGGUAAGCCACCUAUGAGGACCGACAGUCGGUUUUGGAGUAGUUGAUCAACUUGCUCGCGCACCUCUUGCUGCAUUUCGUGUCUCAUUUCUUCACGCAUUUCUUCUCUCAUUUCUUGUCUAAUCUCCGCACCUCUUACUGCAUUUUGUGUCUCAUUUCUUAACACAUUUCUACUCUCAUUUCUUGUCUAAUCUCUUCUCUGAUCUUAGAUCUCAUCUCAUGCUUCAUCUCUUCCUUAAUUUCUUGCAAACGAUGUCCUACACAUUCACUCACCUGAGCAUUGGAGUCUAGA